GCACACGUGGUGGAACGGUAGACACGCUGUCUUCAGGUGGCAGUGCCGUAAGGUGUGGAGGUUCGAAUCCUCUCGUGUGCACAA
rnacentral:tRNA from 1 species